GAAAUUGUAUGGCGAUAUUCUGUGUAUUGUGGCUAUUUUGACUGUGAUGUAUGUCAUGAUGCUAUGCUGACAGAGCCACCCUUGCUGCUUCCCAACCUAGGAGCUCCACACUGGAUUCUGGAGAAAUUCUGGAGGUGGGGCAGAAAGCUGUCACGUUCACUUCCUCCAUUUAAGAGAUAUCAAGUACCUUGAGAACAGACUUAGGCUCAUAUGUUGACAUUUUCCUCUCUCAAGUCCAGAUGCAGCAGCAAUGGUUCCCUUUCUGAAGCUUCUGAAGGUGUAUCUCAUGGUGGAGAGGACUGAGAGACUCCUAUUGCCCAGCCUUCACAGCUGUUGGAUGAAGCCAGAUAACCUCUCAGUAGAUUGUGUUGAAAACUAGCAGAACAAUUUUACAAAAAUAGGAGGAACUUCACAAUUUUUACCUUUAACUUGAUAUAAGAGAAGUUUUGGAGCCAUCCCAACAGUGAGCUUCACUGGAUGAAAGAUAUUGUGCAGUAGAUACAGAGAGGCCAGCUCACCUGUCGGCUACAAUAGCAUCAGCUUCACUACACACCAGCUUUGAGCAUACUCCAGCAGCUUGGAAAAAGCACAACUACUUGGGAAAAUGCAGGUCAG